rnacentral:rRNA from 1 species
UACAGAGGGGGCGAGCGUUGUUCGGAAUUACUGGGCGUAAAGGGCGCGUAGGCGGCCUGUUAAGUCGGACGUGAAAUCCCCGGGCUCAACCCGGGAACUGCAUCCGAUACUGGCAGGCUUGAAUUCGGGAGAGGGAUGUGGAAUUCCAGGUGUAGCGGUGAAAUGCGUAGAUAUCUGGAGGAACACCGGUGGCGAAGGCGGCAUCCUGGACCGACAUUGACGCUGAGGCGCGAAAGCGUGGGGAGC